rnacentral:misc_RNA from 1 species
UCUCCGUUGGUGAAUCAGCGGAGGGAUCAUUACAGAGUUGCAAAACUCCCAAACCAUUGUGAACGUUACCUAUCCCGUUGCUUCGGCGGGCGGCCCGGGCCCCGCGCCCGGCGCCCCCCGGCCCCCCGUGGGCGCCCGCCGGAGGUAAACCAAACCCUUGAAUUGCAUGGCCUCUCUGAGUCUUCUGUACUGAAUAAGUCAAAACUUUCAACAACGGAUCUCUUGGUUCUG